rnacentral:rRNA from 1 species
GUAAUAAAUUCAGCCUACUAACCUUAAUAAAUUAAUAAUACUUUUAAUCAAUUAAAUAAAACAUUUUUAUCAUUUUAGUAAAGGAGAUAGAAAAAUUCAUUAGCGCAAUACAAAUAGUACUGCAAAGGAAAAAUGAAAUAGAAAUUAAAUAAAUAAUAAAAACAAUAAAAAGCAAAGAUUUAACCUUAUACCUUUUGCAUCAUGGUCUAGUAAGUUUAACCUAGCACAAAGAACUUAAGUUAGACAUCCCGAAACUAAACGAGCUACUACGAAGCAGCAAAACGAGCCAACCCUUCUCUGUGGCAAAAGAGUGGGAUGACUUCCUAGUAGUGGUGAUAAACCUAACGAGUCUAGUAAUAGCUGGUUACUUAAUAAAUGAACUUAAAUUCAACUUAAAAUACUUUUUCAACAAACAAAGUAAAAAAUAAUAUUUUAAAGUUAAUUAAUAGAGGUUCAGCUCUAUUAAUAAAGGAUACAACCUAAAACGAUGAAUAAGGAUUAUAAUAAUUAAAGAAAUUAAUUAUGUGGGCCUAAAAGCAGCAAUCAAAAUAAAAGCGUUAAAGCUUAAUUUAAUAAAUCUUAUAAUAACAAUAAAACAAUCUCAACUCACCAAAACUAUUAAGUCUAUCUAUUUAAAUAGAUGUGAUUAUACUAGAAUGAGUAAUAAGAAAAUAUUCUCUUAGUGCAAGUGUAAAUCAAAACGAAUAUCUCAUUGAUAAUUAACGAACCUCUUGAGGGGAGAAUAGUAUUUUACAAGAAAAAUCUAUUUAACCAAUCGUUAACCCAACACAGGAGCACAUUAGAAAGAUUAAAAAUAUAGGAAGGAACUCGGCAAACACGAACUCCGCCUGUUUACCAAAAACAUCGCCUCUUGCAAUUAAGGUAUAAGAGGUCCUGCCUGCCCAGUGACAUUAAGUUUAACGGCCGCGGUAUCAUGACCGUGCAAAGGUAGCGUAAUCACUUGUCUUUUAAAUAAAGACCAGUAUGAAUGGCAAGACGAAAGUUCAACUGUCUCCCUAAAUUAAUCAAUGAAAUUGAUCUCUCCGUGCAGAAGCGAAGAUAUAACUAUAAGACGAGAAGACCCUAUGGAGCUUUAA